rnacentral:rRNA from 1 species
UACGUAGGUGGCAAGCGUUGUCCGGAUUUAUUGGGUUUAAAGGGUGCGUAGGCGGUCAUGUAAGUCAGUGCUGAAAUAUCCCGGCUUAACUGGGAGGGUGCGCCGGAAACUGGGCCGCUGGAGUACGGGAGAGGCAAGCGGAAUUCCUGGUGUAGCGGUGAAAUGCGUAGAUAUCAGGAGGAACACCCGUGGUGCAGACGGCUUGCUGGACCGUGACUGACGCUGAGGCACGAAAGCGUGGGUAGCAAACAGG